rnacentral:rRNA from 1 species
GAUUAACGCUGGCGGCGUGCCUAACACAUGCAAGUCGAACGAUGAAACUUUAAUGAACCCUUCGGGGAGAAUUAAAGCGGAUUAGUGGCGAACGGGUGAGUAACGCGUGAGUAACCUGCCUUACACAAGGGGAUAGCCUUUGGAAACGAAGAAUAAUACCCUAUAAAACCAUAAAAGCACAUGCAAUUAUGGUCAAAGUGAUAGCGGUGUAAGAUGGACUUGCGUCUGAUUAGCUAGUUGGUGAGAUAAAAGCCCACCAAGGCAACGAUCAGUAGCCGGCUUGAGAGAGUGUACGGCCACAUUGGGACUGAGACACGGCCCAGACUCCGACGGGAGGCAGCAGUGGGGAAUUUUGCACAAUGGGGGAAACCCUGAUGCAGCGACGCCGCGUGAUUGAGAAGGCCUUCGGGUUGUAAAAAUCUUUUGUAUAGGAAGAAAAUGACAGUACUAUACGAAUAAGGUCCGGCUAAGUACGUG